CUUUUAUCAUAAGGGAUAUAUAUAUGAACAUCAUCUUUUCUAAAAGACUAUGGAGCAAUCAAGUCUGCCCUCGAACCUGAAAAAUACAUAUUGGAACUUUGUCAUAACAAGGACCUUAUACGCAUUUUAUGCAAAUUCCGCUGUUUAAGCCAUAAG